rnacentral:siRNA from 1 species
CACCGAUGCCAAAGCAUUGGA